rnacentral:pre_miRNA from 1 species
CUGGUUUUCACAAUGGUCCUCCAGACGUAGAGGAAAUCUGAGAUCAUUGUGAAAGCUGAUU